rnacentral:rRNA from 1 species
AACGAACGCUGGCGGCAGGCCUAACACAUGCAAGUCGAGCGCGCCCUUCGGGGUGAGCGGCGGACGGGUUAGUAACGCGUGGGAACGUACCCAGAUCUAAGGAAUAGCCACUGGAAACGGUGAGUAAUACCUUAUACGCCCUUCGGGGGAAAGAUUUAUCGGAUUUGGAUCGGCCCGCGUUAGAUUAGAUAGUUGGUGGGGUAAUGGCCUACCAAGUCUACGAUCUAUAGCUGGUUUUAGAGGAUGAUCAGCAACACUGGGACUGAGACACGGCCCAGACUCCUACGGGAGGCAGCAGUGGGGAAUCUUGGACAAUGGGCGCAAGCCUGAUCCAGCCAUGCCGCGUGAGUGAUGAAGGCCUUAGGGUCGUAAAGCUCUUUCGCCAGAGAUGAUAAUGACAGUAUCUGGUAAAGAAACCCCGGCUAACUCCGUG